ensembl:lncRNA
UUUAGGUCGAUCCAGUCUGAGAGUCACAGUCCGGGCUCCUCCACAAAUCAUGGAGUCAACCAGGAUGAAACUCAUGUGUACGACUCUCUUCAACAUGGUACUGCUGACGUCUAUGAAUCAGUCACACAAGUGAAAAACAGAAAUGACUUGUGACCAUGACACAAAACUACAGACAGAAGUGGAUAAAAUCUCAGUGUUACUGGUUUUAGAAAUGCUUUACAAUAAUAAAAAAUACAUCAUUUAGAGUCAAAAUAUCAUAAAUGGUAACAAAUAUAACUGUUAUCUUCGGGUUACUCACAGUCCAAAUCAUCAUCUGCAUCAAUGAAUGUCAGUGAGGCGUCCUGAAAGUCGUC